rnacentral:lncRNA from 1 species
AAAGUGAUACUCCUAUUAUUACAAUAUUCUUCUCUUUGUAAAACAGAUUCUAAAAAUUUGGUGAGCCUCACUCAGAGAUCAAAGCUUAAUGAAUUUGUCCUAUUGUGCAAGGGUAAGAAGCGCCUCUCUCUGAAGGUCGUAAAAGCAUCGUGUUCAGAGCCAGAUUGUCCUUCCAUGAAAAGAUGCAACAUGAAAACAUGCACCCAUGAAGAUCCUGACUUCAAACAGCUGAAUGAAGAUAAUAACUUUUUCAUCAUGCACUGCCAAGGAGAUUCAGUACAGUUCCAAUGCUAUGAAGAUAGACGUUACUAUCUGCAUGUGAAUGACGACUCACUUGAUAUUUGCAAGCUGGAAAACAAAGAACCCAACGAGGACAAAAAUUUUUACUUCAGGGUGUCAUAUUUAUAGGAAAAGUAACUUGUCUACCUUUCAGUGGCUUAAGUGCCCACACUCCUAAGAAGAGGAGGAAGUUUGAGAUCAACUAAUUUCUGUUUUGGCUGAAAUCUUACAUUUACGUAGUUUCUGAGUCACUGACAUCUUUUAUUUCCCUACUUUCAACAGCAAUAGAGAAAGGCUAAAUUUGAAAAACAUACCAACAGAUCAGUCUCUGUGUCUUACCUGAACAAUUAUCUUUUCAAGGAUAUGAAAUCUUCUGGAAUAGGAAAAAUACAUGGGGGAUAUUUCAAAGAUGGAAAAAGAAGGAACAUACGUGAAUAUGAACAUAAAAAGUGCAGUGAGUUCUCCCUGUGGUAAAUGUUUUACUUUUUUUAAAAUGUCUGUUAUAAGCUCUGAACUUGACAAGAAAACAUUUAGAAGUUAUUAAACACAUAUGUGCAUAUCCGGACUGACUUUGAGAAAGGAGUGGAAAAGGUGUCUCAGGUCUAACUGAGAAUGAGGGAAGAAGCUGAAAGUUAGAACAUCCCUCUGCACUUGUAUCUCCAAGUCAUUCCAUACACUCCAUUAUGCAAUUUCAGCAUCUAUCCACCUCUCUAAGAUGUAUACAGAGCAUCAGAUGCACAGUGUGCAGGUAGCUGGAAGGAGACACUGACAGGUGCCUGUGAACACUGGCAGAAAGUUGCUCUGACAUAUUGGCUUCCACCUCUGAAUCCUAGAGGAGAAAUGCAAUCAUGUUCAUCUACAAAGCAGAGUGCAGAACAACAUCUGAAAAAUAAUUAUGUUCAAAAUAACUGAAUUAAAUAAACACUAGGUGCUUAUGUGUGGUAUACUGGAG